ACACGCAUGUGAUAGCUCUUUCGUAGUAAAUAUAGUUGUUGCAUGCGCAUGAUUAAAAUAAUGGUCAUAUGACCAGCACAAGUUGAAUCAGCACUGGGUUGGGGUAAGGGUGCAUGAGCAAGAGAACGUCACACGCGCAUCGAACGGAAUUUAUUGGUUUGUGUGUAUGUUUGUAUGUGAACUAAAAUUUUCCCUUCUAACUGCGCGUGACCAUUGAAAUUUAUAUUUCUCAACGAAUAUCAGUAUCAAAACUCAAAUCCUAAUUGGUAUGAUUUGCAUUGAAGAGGGGAAUUGAGUAUAUAUUCACAUGGAAAUGCUAAUAAAGAGCGCGCAAAGCGGUUAAACACGUGAGAGGCAUUACCGACUUUGUUUCUCUCUCGCAAGUAAAGCGAGAAGGCGAUAUGUAGUCUACGCUUUCAUUCUUAAUUUUGACAGUUCACGUGAGGCAGAGUUGCGCGUCGAAACACUAACGUUUGCCUGUGCGGCGGAACGAAGUCGGGUUUAACUGAUAACCUUCUCCGUUUUGUCAAGUCGGUUAAAAAUAGCAGAAACAGAUUUGAAACCAUUUUGAACGAUAUAGGUAUUUGAGCUUGAACUUCAAAGAGGUUUCUUUUUUGUCAUGUUUCAAUAUCUCCUUAAGACAACAAAUUUCAAUCGGUCUCAUACUUCAAAUAAUUUUCUAUAUGAGUAUCUAAUCAAAAGAUAAAGUA